CUGCAUAUCUCACUGAUUUACUAAUUUACCUAAAUUUAUGCUUGCUAAAUAGUUUACAAUCCAUUUAAGUAUGUAAAAAUAUAAAAAAGAUGUUUCCACUACCUUUGCACGAUGUGUUGUUACGUUAUAUGAACACUUCAUAAGCCUAUGUGUUCAUAAUAUACAUACAUUUAACUGAUAUAUCAUAUUUUAUAGGAAUCAUAAUCUAAAUAAAAAACUAAAGCUAGCAACAAACUUCUCAUGUUUUAAUAUAAUACUAAAGUAUAUUAAGAGAUAAUACUAGAGUAAGAUAAGAUUUGCCUAAUUUCUAUUUUUAUUAUUAAAUAAAUAUGUCUCCAAGAUAUAUAUUAUUGUAAAUAUUAACUAUCUAAUACCAUAGAUGUCAUGGUUAUCAAUAAAAUAAAUUAUGGAAUUUAAAUUUUAUAAAAAGGAUAAAUAUAAAUAGAUAUGUAACAUUAUGCCAUCACUUUCUAUGGCUAUUUGAUGUUUUUCUCCCGUUGCAACGCACGGGCAUAUUUGCUAGUAAGUAAUAAAAUGUAGCCAAACAUAUGUAUUUACUGGCCAUGCAUUUGCAAACGCCUGUAAUAAUGUUCUAGCAAAUGGUGGCACCAUAACUGUUGGAGCCGGUGGUGACCCCACACUACCGGAAUCCCGGCCUUUGUCGAGAGCCGGAUGCUUUGCCUAGUGUCAGGCAUCGGUGCGGACGAGCUCACGAACACAAAACGCCAUCACUGUGAACACAAGUGGGAGACAAUACGGUUUCAGCUGCAAGGAUCAUAAUAGUAUGACUUAAGGGGAUGUUUGGUUCGCCUAGCAGCUCCCAAAUUUAGUCUUAUUUAGUCACUUUUUACCCAAACACUAUGACUAAAUAGGAUUUUAGGAGCCACGAAAGUUUAGGAGGGCAAACCAAAUAGAGCCUUAUCUUAAUAAGUUCUUAGCAACAUGAAUUUUGUCUUAUUAUUAUUAUUACUAUGAUUAUUACUAAUUUGGGGUCCCUCUAUGUUAAUCCUCGCGAGGCACGUUAGGAUAAAAAGAUGCUACAAAUUAUCGAAAAAAACAAAAAAAAAUCUAACCAUUAAUUUGGCGGACUAAAAUGAUCGGUCGGAUGGCUAGGCUAGGGGAGUUGAAUAGUCGAAUUACAUACUUUCAAUGCACGAUCCAAAACUUGCACUAUUGUAUUAAAACCAAAGGAUGUCCUAAUAGUAACUACUUGUUUAGUCUAUCCGACAAAUCAUGCCUCCUACACAAUUCUAGUUGCAAAAAUAAGAACAACAAGAAAAACUAGAGCUAGCAACUAGGCUAGAGGCAAAUAACUUCUACACAAGUUAGUGAACAAACUUAAGCCACUAACAAACACUAGCUGGGCUAAACAAGAGCUACUUGAUUUCUCUAGCACAACAAAGAACCAAAGCUAGUCAAUUACUCAAAGCAAACGAUAAAGGAGCUAAGCAGCUAAACAAGCAAGAGAUGAACAAUUGAAGGACCAAGUGUAGUGGGGCGCAAACCAAAAGGGACAAGUGACACAAAAAAAUUGUGAGGUUUGGUUGCUUGUCGGUAACCUACAUCCCCAUUGUGGCAUGUCCAAGGAUCACUACUCCUCUGGAAACCUAGGAAGCCCUCAAGCUUGGCCUGACGUGGGCCACUCACCUAUGAGUCGGCUCAAUCACAAGGAAUACACUAGAGUUGCUCUUUAUGAUCACUCAUGGGGACAAGCACAAGAGACCUCACAAGUCUUCAUUGAAGCCCCACAAUCUCCAAACGGAGCUCGACGGUGUCUACAACCUCCAAGCCAUCUAUGUUGAGGCAACUACCGAGUAACAAGAUAUCCGUAGCGAACAUGCUCAACAAGACCACCAGAUACCUCACCCUAGCUCGCUUUGUGGCCUAGGUCAGUCUCAAUGCAUAGUUUUAUGGCACGGUUACCAAGACUAUAAACUAGGUAACCGAGCCACAUGAGUUUCAUGGGGAUGAAACCCAUCUCUCAUCUGAUGAAACUCCUUCAUUUAAUGACUCUGAC
rnacentral:lncRNA from 1 species